rnacentral:rRNA from 1 species
GUACCCAGGAUAAGAAUUAAGUUCAACUUUAAAUUUACCUAAAGAAAUUAAAAUCUUAAUGUAAGUUUUAAGUAUACUCUAUAGAGGUACAGCUCUAUAGAUAAGGAAAAAACCUGAAAUAGUGAGUAAAAUUUAUAAUAACCACAGUUGGCCUAAAAGCAGCCAUCAGUUAAGAAAGCGUUCAAGCUCAACACUAAUAUAUUAAACUAAUCUAAAUAUUCUUUACUCAACUCCUAUUUUUUCACUGGGUUAAUCUAUUAUUCAAUAGAAGAGAUAAUGUUAUUAUAAGUAACAAGAAUUAUAUUUCUCCUAAGCACAAGUUUAUAUCAGAUCGAAUACAUCACUGAUAGUUAACAAUAAGGUAACAAUAGUAAAACAUAAUACUUACCUGCCCUAAUUGUUAACCCAACACAGGAGUGCUGUAAGGAAAGAUAAAAAGAAGUAAAAGGAACUCGGCAAACACAAACCCCGCCUGUUUACCAAAAACAUCACCUCUAGCAUAAAAAGUAUUAGAGGCACCGCCUGCCCAGUGACAUACGUUCAACGGCCGCGGUAUUCUGACCGUGCAAAGGUAGCAUAAUCAUUUGUUCCUUAACUAGGGACUUGUAUGAAUGGCAUGACGAGGGUUUAACUGUCUCUUACUUCCUAUCAGUGAAAUUGACCUUCCAGUGAAGAGGCUGGAAUAAACUAAUAAGACGAGAAGACCCUAUGGAGCUUAAAUUAACCAAUCUAACCAUAUUUAAAAUUACUCUACAAGAAAUCUAACAUAAUAUGAACCUAGAUUGGCAAUUUUGGUUGGGGUGACCUCGGAGCAUAAAAAAACCUCCGAAAGAUAAAUAUAGACUAACUAGUCGAAAUGAUAUAAUCCAUCCAACUGAUCCAAACACUUUUUGAUCAACGGAACAAGUUACCCUAGGGAUAACAGCGCAAUCUUGCUUAAGAGUUCAUAUCGACAGUAAGGUUUACGACCUCGAUGUUGGAUCAGGACAUCCUAAUGGUGCAGCAGCUAUUAAGGGUUCGUUUGUUCAACGAUUAAUAGUCCUACGUGAUCUGAGUUCAGACCGAGCA